rnacentral:rRNA from 2 species
GCGGACAGAUGGGAGCUUGCUCCCUGAUGUUAGCGGCGGACGGGUGAGUAACACGUGGGUAACCUGCCUGUAAGACUGGGAUAACUCCGGGAAACCGGGGCUAAUACCGGAUGCUUGUUUGAACCGCAUGGUUCAAACAUAAAAGGUGGCUUCGGCUACCACUUACAGAUGGACCCGCGGCGCAUUAGCUAGUUGGUGAGGUAACGGCUCACCAAGGCAACGAUGCGUAGCCGACCUGAGAGGGUGAUCGGCCACACUGGGACUGAGACACGGCCCAGACUCCUACGGGAGGCAGCAGUAGGGAAUCUUCCGCAAUGGACGAAAGUCUGACGGAGCAACGCCGCGUGAGUGAUGAAGGUUUUCGGAUCGUAAAGCUCUGUUGUUAGGGAAGAACAAGUACCGUUCGAAUAGGGCGGUACCUUGACGGUACCUAACCAGAAAGCCACGGCUAACUACGUGCCAGCAGCCGCGGUAAUACGUAGGUGGCAAGCGUUGUCCGGAAUUAUUGGGCGUAAAGGGCUCGCAGGCGGUUUCUUAAGUCUGAUGUGAAAGCCCCCGGCUCAACCGGGGAG